rnacentral:tRNA from 1 species
GGCCGGUUAGCUCAGCUGCUUAGAGCGUGGUGCCAAUAACGCCAACGUCCUGGGUGCGAUCCCCAUACUGGCCA